rnacentral:rRNA from 1 species
UUCCGGUUGAUCCCGCCGGACCCGACUGCUAUCAGAGUGGGACUAAGCCAUGCGAGUCGACGUAGCAAUGCGUGGCGAACGGCUCAGUAACACGUAGUCAACAUGCCCAGGGGACGUGGAUAACCUCGGGAAACUGAGAAUAAACCACGAUAGGUCACGAUUUCUGGAAUGGAUCAUGGCAUAAAUCUACAUGGCCCCUGGAUUGGUCUGCGGCCGAUCAGGCAGCUGGUGAGGUAAUGGCCCACCAAACCUAUAACCGGUACGGGCUCUGAGAGGAGAAGCCCGGAGAUGGGCACUGAGACAAGGGCCCAGGCCCUAUGGGGCGCAGCAGGCGCGAAACCUCAGCAAUAGGCGAAAGCCUGACAGGGUUACUCUGAGUGAUUUCCGCUAAGGGGAUCUUUUGGCACCUCUAAAAAUGGUGCAGAAUAAGGGGUGGGCAAGUCUGGUGUCAGCCGCCGCGGUAAUACCAGCACCCCGAGUGGUCGGGACGAUUAUUGGGCCUAAAGCAUCCGUAGCCGGUUCUGCAAGUCUUCCGUUAAAUCCAGCCGCUCAACGGAUGGGCCGCGGAGGAUACUAUAGGACUAGGAGGCGGGAGAGGCAAGCGGUACUCAGUGGGUAGGGGUAAAAUCCUUUGAUCCAUUGAAGACCACCAGUGGCGAAGGCGGCUUGCCAGAACGCGCUCGACGGUGAGGGAUGAAAGCUGGGGGAGCAAACCGGAUUAGAUACCCGGGUAGUCCCAG